rnacentral:rRNA from 1 species
GCCCCGUACACAAAAAUGCACAUACUGUGAGCUCGAUGAGUAGGGCGGGACACGUGGUAUCCUGUCUGAAUAUGGGGGGACCAUCCUCCAAGGCUAAAUACUCCUGACUGACCGAUAGUGAACCAGUACCGUGAGGGAAAGGCGAAAAGAACCCCGGCGAGGGGAGUGAAAAAGAACCUGAAACCGUGUACGUACAAGCAGUGGGAGCCUCUUUUAUGGGGUGACUGCGUACCUUUUGUAUAAUGGGUCAGCGACUUAUAUUCUGUAGCAAGGUUAACCGAAUAGGGGAGCCGAAGGGAAACCGAGUCUUAACUGGGCGUUAAGUUGCAGGGUAUAGACCCGAAACCCGGUGAUCUAGCCAUGGGCAGGUUGAAGGUUGGGUAACACUAACUGGAGGACCGAACCGACUAAUGUUGAAAAAUUAGCGGAUGACUUGUGGCUGGGGGUGAAAGGCCAAUCAAACCGGGAGAUAGCUGGUUCUCCCCGAAAGCUAUUUAGGUAGCGCCUCGUGAAUUCAUCUCCGGGGGUAGAGCACUGUUUCGGCAAGGGGGUCAUCCCGACUUACCAACCCGAUGCAAACUGCGAAUACCGGAGAAUGUUAUCACGGGAGACACACGGCGGGUGCUAACGUCCGUCGUGAAGAGGGAAACAACCCAGACCGCCAGCUAAGGUCCCAAAGUCAUGGUUAAGUGGGAAACGAUGUGGGAAGGCCCAGACAGCCAGGAUGUUGGCUUAGAAGCAGCCAUCAUUUAAAGAAAGCGUAAUAGCUCACUGGUCGAGUCGGCCUGCGCGGAAGAUGUAACGGGGCUAAACCAUGCACCGAAGCUGCGGCAGCGACGCUUAUGCGUUGUUGGGUA